GAUGAACGCUGGCGGCGUGCUUAACACAUGCAAGUCGAACGAUGAAGCCCAGCUUGCUGGGUGGAUUAGUGGCGAACGGGUGAGUAACACGUGAGCAACCUGCCCCUGACUCUGGGAUAAGCGCUGGAAACGGCGUCUAAUACUGGAUAUGUCCCGUCACCGCAUGGUGUGCGGGUGGAAGAUUUUUCGGUUGGGGAUGGGCUCGCGGCCUAUCAGCUUGUUGGUGAGGUAAUGGCUCACCAAGGCGUCGACGGGUAGCCGGCCUGAGAGGGUGACCGGCCACACUGGGACUGAGACACGGCCCAGACUCCUACGGGAGGCAGCAGUGGGGAAUAUUGCACAAUGGGCGGAAGCCUGAUGCAGCAACGCCGCGUGAGGGAUGACGGCCUUCGGGUUGUAAACCUCUUUUAGCAGGGAAGAAGCGAAAGUGACGGUACCUGCAGAAAAAGCACCGGCUAACUACGUG
rnacentral:rRNA from 1 species